rnacentral:rRNA from 1 species
GUCUACGGCCAUACCACCCUGAACGCGCCCGAUCUUGUCUGAUCUCGGAAGCUAAGCAGGGUCUGGCCUGGUUAGUACUUGGAUGGGAGAAAGGGAAAAGAGUUGAGAGACCUAGAAAACCACUGCGGCUGUGAACU